ACGCUCGACACCUACGGGGGCAGCAGUGGGGAAUAUUGCACAAUGGGGGAAACCCUGAUGCAGCGACGCCGCGUGAGCGAAGAAGUAUUUCGGUAUGUAAAGCUCUAUCAGCAGGGAAGAAGAAAGACGGUACCUGACUAAGAAGCCCCGGCUAACUACGUGCUAGCAGCCGCGGUAAUCUGAGCGGGCUGGCAAGGC
rnacentral:rRNA from 1 species